GAUGAACGCUGGCGGCGUGCCUAAUACAUGCAAGUCGAGCGAACAGACGAGGAGCUUGCUCCUCUGACGUUAGCGGCGGACGGGUGAGUAACACGUGGAUAACCUACCUAUAAGACUGGGAUAACUUCGGGAAACCGGAGCUAAUACCGGAUAAUAUAUUGAACCGCAUGGUUCAAUAGUGAAAGACGGUUUUGCUGUCACUUAUAGAUGGAUCCGCGCCGCAUUAGCUAGUUGGUAAGGUAACGGCUUACCAAGGCGACGAUGCGUAGCCGACCUGAGAGGGUGAUCGGCCACACUGGAGCUGAGACACGGUCCAGACUCCUACGGGAGGCAGCAGUAGGGAAUCUUCCGCAAGGGGCGAAAGCCUGACGGAGCAACGCCGCGUGAGUGAUGAAGGUCUUCGGAUCGUAAAACGCUGUUAUUAGGGAAGAACAAAUGUGUAAGUAACGAUGCACGUCUUGACGGUACCUAAUCAGAAAGCCACGGCUAACUACGU
rnacentral:rRNA from 1 species